GGUCAGCUGGCUCAAUGGCAGAGCGUCUGACUACGAAUCAGGAGGUUCCAGGUUCGACCCCUGGGUGGAUCG
rnacentral:tRNA from 1 species